rnacentral:rRNA from 1 species
AACGUAGGACGCGAGCGUUAUCCGGAGUUACUGGGCGUAAAGCGCGGGCAGGCGGUCUGACAAGUCUGAUGUGAAAUCUCCGGGCUUAACCGGGAGAGGCCAUUGGAAGCUGACAGGCUGGAGGGCAGUAGAGGUAGGCGGAAUUCCGGGUGGAGUGGUGAAAUGCGUAGAGAUCCGGAGGAACACCAGAGGCGAAGGCGGCCUACUGGGCUGCACCUGACGCUGAGCCGCGAAAGCCAGGGGAGCGAACGGG